AUUAUUAACAAAUUAAACCAAACGUAAAUUAUGAGUUUGAGAAGAUAACACCAAUAAGAACGGAGUGAAGCCCUCUGCCUCUGUGCUCCUCUUCUUCCCUGGCUGUCGCACUUUCUUUUUCCCUGAGGCUCAAGCUGCGCAAGGCAGCUUGCUAAUUCCCCCAAAAUCACCUCCUCAUCACUGCUCUCUGCCCUCUCUUCUAUAUUCUGUUUGGCAGCCUCCUGCCCUCCUUUUCCUUUAUUUUUUUAUUCUUUUUCUUUCUGGCAGCCUUGCUGCCCUUCUGUCCGUGACCUCCUUCUCUUCUCACGCUGCCCCGCACCGCAAGGCAGCUCAGCUGCUCCUUCUUUAUUUCCUCUCAGUCCGUCCCUUCUGAUUCUCACGCUGCCUAAGGCAGCUUCCUCUCACUUGCCAGCUGCAAAGCAGCUAUUUCUUUAUUCUUCUCUGAUCUUUCCAAAGCUGCAAGGGCAGCUUACUCCUUUCCUCUCUCACGCUGCCAAAGCAGCCCUCUCCCUUUUUCCUUUUCAGUCCCUUUUCCGCAUCUUCUCAUUUUCUUUUUCUCUCGCCAGGCAGCCAAGUGCUGCUUUUCCUCCGCUAGCUGCAAAGGCAGCUUCUUUCUUUUCUUUUCUGGCGCACGCUUUCUCCAAGUCGCUCCCCCUUUGCAUAUGCAUGUGCUGGUUUUUUAUUCAGGCUUUCAUUAGCCCACCUCACCAUCCAUACCUUUUCCAACGUCCUGCCAAUAUUAGUUUAAGUAAAUGAUUCAUCAUGAUUCCAUUAUCAAAAGUAAAAUUAUAUCCUAAGCUAGCUAAUUGUAAUUAUUAAAGAACACAUAGUUUGGUGUGGUGGAUAACUGCCAAUAUUAUUUCUCUGCCGUGUUCUUUCUUUUCUUUUUAUUAUUUAAAACUCAUUUGUGCUAUUUUUAUUUUCUUUGCAUAACAAAUCCUAUAAACAUAAAAAUAACGUAAAUAGCUCAAAAAUAUAAGGAACUAACUAAGAAAAGACGAGUGAAUUCGAAGUAAAAAUAUAUAUAAAUAUGAUCCGAUCAAAUACCCCCACACUUAACUUUUGCUAGUCCUCGAGCAAAACAAAGAAAACAUGAAAAAGAUUAGCUUCCCUCUAUGUGACCCUCAUAGAUUUUCAAUUAAGAAAACAAAUCAUCAAGAACCAUAGCUAGCAUCAAAGAACUAAUCCAGGUUCAUCUUCCUAAUUCAAAUAUUAGCAGUAAUCUUUGAAUCAUCCUUGAAGUGUAGUGUGUGAGAUAGCCAUGCUAAUGCAAUUUCAAGUUUUUAUUUUUAAAAUCAUCAUAUGCAAACUAGCGACCUUCUCACUGGAUAUGCACUCAAUCACACAUGUGUUUAGUUUUAAUGUGUU
rnacentral:lncRNA from 1 species